rnacentral:lncRNA from 1 species
GUCGGCGGCUCCCGCGCGGCCCGCCCACACCUAGGGGUCCGGCCGCCACGCCGGGCUAAGCAGGGCCGGGUCUGGGGCCCCGGGCGGGGAGAGCCCGCGGAACAGGGAAGGAGGGAAGACAGGAGGAAGAGCAGGCGGAGGGGGCAGCCUGCCUCCGCAACGCCUCACACACUUACAGACCCCAGCGCCGCCGCCUCCCACCGCCGGCCGGAAGUGUCCAGCCGUCCCCACGCCGGCGUCAUGUCAUCACAUCCGCCGCGUCGCCGGGGCAACGGGGGCCAACCACUAACUGCAAGAGGGAGAGGCGAGGAGAGCGCCUCCGCGGAUGGGAGGGCGGGGCCGGGGGCGGGGUGGGGCGCCCCCGCGCCCCCUAACCCCACCCCUCGGAAAAAUACAAGAUUGCCCUGCAUGCAGUCCUUUACCUUUUAGAUCUGAUAUGUGGGAGAUUGUCUUGACCUUGAGAGAGAACAAACAUUAGACAGCAAAUAAUGGAAAGGUGUGGAGUUUCUAUCCCUGAUGACAUUCAAGAAGAGACCAGACUCUGUCACCAGGACUUCAGUGAGAGCUGAGCCGACAGAUCUCCUGAGGCUUCCCAGCUCCAAGAAUUCUGUAUGAUGUUUACCCUGCAGUGAUGAUAUAUUCCUUCUUCUGACAGCUUCCAACUCCCCUUUCUCACCUAGGAUUUCCACUCUCCCUGACAGAUUAAACCACUGGGCAACAAUAGUCCUUUUCAAAUGAUACUUUGAAAUUUAUACUUUCCUCCUGUCCUGGGGCUUAAACAAGUCCAUGAAUCCUGAAGAAUCCAAGUCCCUAGUUCUCAGACAGGCCUAAGGAGUUGCGUGCAGACUCAGAGUCUCCCAUGCUGAUUUACAUGCCUUUGACCUGCAAACUAGCAAUUACCACCUGCAGGAACAGUGAUCUCACCCUAACUAGCACCUCAGCUGAACAUAGCAUCAGCCUGGUUGUCUGUAACCUAUGAUCCCCAGAUAACUUGACCUCUGAGCAGCUUUACAUGGAUUCCUUGUGUGUUGCAGUAUACCAUUCAAAAAAUGGACCAGGUUAAAGCAAAGGGAAUGGGAAUGAGGUGCCAUUGUGGGAAACCUUUUCCCAAGAGACCCAAGCUACUCCCUCCUCCUUUCCUUGUAGCCACCUGAAAAGAGAAAGAGUUCGAGUGACCCAGUGCCUCCUGAUCCCUGCAUCCUGAUAAGCUUGGGCAGCUUCAUGUUCAAUGAGAUUGACUCCCAACGAGAUAUCACUCCCAUGCUUUAAAAUGUUGAGUGACUCCCUAGAAAAUCUAGGAUAAAAUACAAAGCCUUCAGCCAAUGAGGACAUUGGAAGAUCUUUCCAUGUUUUUAUUUUCUUAAAACCCACACCUUUCAUCUUAGAUUCAAUACUAAGGCAAAAGAGUGAAGGACUAGGCAAUAGAGAU